GAUGAACGCUGGCGGCGUGCCUAAUACAUGCAAGUCGAGCGAACGGACGAGAAGCUUGCUUCUCUGAUGUUAGCGGCGGACGGGUGAGUAACACGUGGAUAACCUACCUAUAAGACUGGGAUAACUUCGGGAAACCGGAGCUAAUACCGGAUAAUAUUUUGAACCGCAUGGUUCAAAAGUGAAAGACGGUCUUGCUGUCACUUAUAGAUGGAUCCGCGCUGCAUUAGCUAGUUGGUAAGGUAACGGCUUACCAAGGCAACGAUGCAUAGCCGACCUGAGAGGGUGAUCGGCCACACUGGAACUGAGACACGGUCCAGACUCCUACGGGAGGCAGCAGUAGGGAAUCUUCCGCAAUGGGCGAAAGCCUGACGGAGCAACGCCGCGUGAGUGAUGAAGGUCUUCGGAUCGUAAAACUCUGUUAUUAGGGAAGAACAUAUGUGUAAGUAACUGUGCACAUCUUGACGGUACCUAUUCGGAAAGCCACGGCUAACUACGUGCCAGCAGCCGCGGUAAUACGUAGGUGGCAAGCGUUAUCCGGAAUUAUUGGGCGUAAGCGCGCGUAGGCGGUUUUUUAAGUCUGAUGUGAAAGCCCACGGCUCAACCGUGGAGGGUCAUUGGAAACUGGAAAACUUGAGUGCAGAAGAGGAAAGUGGAAUUCCAUGUGUAGCGGUGAAAUGCGCAGAGAUAUGGAGGAACACCAGUGGCGAAGGCGACUUUCUGGUCUGUAACUGACGCUGAUGUGCGAAAGCGUGGGGAUCAAACGGGAUUAGAUACCCUGGUAGUCCACGCCGUAAACGAUGAGUGCUAAGUGUUAGGGGGUUUCCGCCCCCUAGUGCUGCAGCUAACGCAUUAAGCACUCCGCCUGGGGAGUACGACCGCAAGGUUGAAACUCAAAGGAAUUGACGGGGACCCGCACAAGCGGUGGAGCAUGUGGUUUAAUUCGAAGCAACGCGAAGAACCUUACCAAAUCUUGACAUCCUUUGACAACUCUAGAGAUAGAGCCUUCCCCUUCGGGGGACAAAGUGACAGGUGGUGCAUGGUUGUCGUCAGCUCGUGUCGUGAGAUGUUGGGUUAAGUCCCGCAACGAGCGCAACCCUUAAGCUUAGUUGCCAUCAUUAAGUUGGGCACUCUAAGUUGACUGCCGGUGACAAACCGGAGGAAGGUGGGGAUGACGUCAAAUCAUCAUGCCCCUUAUGAUUUGGGCUACACACGUGCUACAAUGGACAAUACAAAGGGCAGCGAAACCGCGAGGUCAAGCAAAUCCCAUAAAGUUGUUCUCAGUUCGGAUUGUAGUCUGCAACUCGACUACAUGAAGCUGGAAUCGCUAGUAAUCGUAGAUCAGCAUGCUACGGUGAAUACGUUCCCGGGUCU
rnacentral:rRNA from 1 species